UUCUCCUUCAAUUACUCCCAUCAACAGCUCCUUUAGUUUCUCUUAAGACAUUGAUGUUAAGAUCUUUCCCAUGCACAGACAGAAUUUAUCCCCGCGACCACAAACUUCAACUUCAAUAUGUUGCUAUAAAGAUAAUAAAGAAGAAGAGUGAACACGCAUCGCGAUGAGUUACAUCGGCUAAUCAAGAUAAAAAGGAAUGUGAGAAAGAACCCAAGUUACAAAAAUUACAAAAUGGCAGGGGGACGAUGCAGGUCCCCACAAGCUACAAAAAGGUAUCCUUCUAUUCAACUAAACCUUAAUGAUACAAUUCUCUUCCCCUUUUUUUUUUUUUAACUUUCAGUUUCCCCUUUUUCCAGAAUUUGCACUAAUCUUCCGUUUCCCCCAUUUACAGGUACAACAAUUUUUUUUCUUUUCUCCCACCCCUCUUUUUCUUCUCAUCUGAUGGAUUUUCUAGGGUAAUGGUGUGUCAAAACUCCUAUACCUUCACGACUCAGUAUAUCACAACUCGGAGAAGCCCCGGUUGUGGCUC
rnacentral:lncRNA from 1 species